rnacentral:rRNA from 1 species
UACGUAGGGGGCAAGCGUUGUCCGGAUUUACUGGGCGUAAAGAGCGCGUAGGCGGAAGCUUAAGUGUGGCCUGAAAGCCCCCGGCUCAACCGGGGAAGGUGGCUGCAAACUGGGCUUCUUGAGGGGGAUAGGGGAAAGUGGAAUUCCGGGUGUAGCGGUGAAAUGCGUAGAGAUCCGGAGGAACACCAGUGGCGAAGGCGGCUUUCUGGGCCCUACCUGACGCUGAGACGGCGAAAAGCGUGGGGGAGCGAACCGG